GGGGAUUAGUGGCGAACGGGUGAGUAACACGUGGGCAAUCUGCCCUGCACUCUGGGACAAGCCCUGGAAACGGGGUCUAAUACCGGAUACUGACCCGCUUGGGCAUCCAAGCGGUUCGAAAGCUCCGGCGGUGCAGGAUGAGCCCGCGGCCUAUCAGCUUGUUGGUGAGGUAAUGGCUCACCAAGGCGACGACGGGUAGCCGGCCUGAGAGGGCGACCGGCCACACUGGGACUGAGACACGGCCCAGACUCCUACGGGAGGCAGCAGUGGGGAAUAUUGCACAAUGGGCGAAAGCCUGAUGCAGCGACGCCGCGUGAGGGAUGACGGCCUUCGGGUUGUAAACCUCUUUCAGCAGGGAAGAAGCGAAAGUGACGGUACCUGCAGAAGAAGCGCCGGCUAACUACGUGCCAGCAGCCGCGGUAAUACGUAGGGCGCGAGCGUUGUCCGGAAUUAUUGGGCGUAAAGAGCUCGUAGGCGGCUUGUCACGUCGGUUGUGAAAGCCCGGGGCUUAACCCCGGGUCUGCAGUCGAUACGGGCAGGCUAGAGUUCGGUAGGGGAGAUCGGAAUUCCUGGUGUAGCGGUGAAAUGCGCAGAUAUCAG
rnacentral:rRNA from 1 species